UGAGGAAUUUUGCGCAAUGGGCGAAAGCCUGACGCAGCGACGCCGCGUGGACGAUGAAGGCCUUCGGGUUGUAAAGUCCUGUCAGGAGGGACGAAGCGGUUCAUCCCGUGACGGUACCUCCAGAGGAAGCCCCGGCUAACUACGUGCCAGCAGCCGCGGUAAGACGUAGGGGGCAAGCGUUGUCCGGAGUUACUGGGCGUAAAGAGCUCGUAGGCGGCUUUUUAAGUCGGGUGUGAAAGCCCUCGGCUCAACCGAGGAAUUGCAUUCGAUACUGGAAGGCUGGAGUCUGGUAGAGGGAAGCGGAAUUCCCGAUGUAGCGGUGAAAUGCGCAGAUAUCGGGAGGAACACCGGUGGCGAAGGCGGCUUCCUGGGCCAUGACUGACGCUGAGGAGCGAAAGCUAGGGGAGCAAACAGG
rnacentral:rRNA from 1 species